rnacentral:rRNA from 1 species
GACGAACGCUGGCGGCGUGCCUAAUACAUGCAAGUCGAGCGGACUUUCAAGAAGCUUGCUUUUUGAAAGUUAGCGGCGGACGGGUGAGUAACACGUGGGCAACCUGCCUGUAAGACGGGGAUAACUCCGGGAAACCGGGGCUAAUACCGGAUAAUAUCUUUCUUCGCAUGAAGGAAGGUUGAAAGGCGGCGCGAGCUGCCGCUUGCAGAUGGGCCCGCGGCGCAUUAGCUAGUUGGUGAGGUAACGGCUCACCAAGGCGUCGAUGCGUAGCCGACCGGAGAGGGGGAUCGGCCACACUGGGACGGAGACACGGCCCAGACUCCUACGGGAGGCAGCAGUAGGGAAUCUUCCGCAAUGGACGAAAGUCUGACGGAGCAACGCCGCGUGAGCGAAGAAGGUCUUCGGAUCGUAAAGCUCUGUUGUCAGGGAAGAACAAGUACCGUUCGAAUAGGGCGGUACCUUGACGGUACCUGACCAGAAAGCCACGGCUAACUACGUGCCAGCCGCCGCAGUAA